rnacentral:sRNA from 1 species
ACCCAUGUCUUUUGAGUACCUUCGUUUCCUCGGCGGGUCCGCCCGCCGAUUGGACAACAUUCAAACCCUUUGCAGUUGCAAUCAGCGUCUGAAAAAACAUAAUAGUUACAACUUUCAACAACGGAUCUCUUGGUUCUGGCAUCGAUGAAGAACGCAGCGAAAUGCGAUAAGUAGUGUGAAUUGCAGAAUUCAGUGAAUCAUCGAAUCUUUGAACGCACAUUGCGCCCCUUGGUAUUCCAUGGGGCAUGCCUGUUCGAGCGUCAUUUGUACCUUCAAGCUCUGCUUGGUGUUGGGUGUUUGUCUCUCCUCUGCGUGUAGACUCGCCUUAAAACAAUUGGCAGCCGGCGUAUUGAUUUCGGAGCGCAGUACAUCUCGCGCUUUGCACUCAUAACGACGACGUCCAAAAGUACAUU